ensembl:rRNA 5S_rRNA 5S ribosomal RNA
GACCACAGCCGUAUCACUCUGCAGACCAAGAGUGGUCCCUCACUGGAGCUAAGCAGGGCUGAGCCUGGUCAGUGCCAGGUUGAGAGAGCACAUGGGAACUCUAGGCUGCUGUUGGCA